AAAAAAAAGCCCCGUCAAGAUGAGAUGAUGGGAGUGGCCUCACCUGGACAUGGAGUUCAAGAGAAGCUCAAGGCGGUGAGCAGGAAGACUUUGUGGAAAGAUGACUCAUCUACGAACGUGAAGGAGGUGACCAAGACACUGAGAGCAAGGAUGAGGUUUGCCCAGACAUCCAAUUCACAAGGUAAGGCUGAGGGUGGCACCUGCCAUUGGAAAGGCUCAGCCUGGGCAAAUCUCUCAGAGCUGGUGCAGGGGUCGGGGGAUACAUGACCUCCGUGUUAGCAGAGAGAUUUUCAGAGAGAACAGGCGAGGAGCAAAGAGAGGCAACGAAUGGCCAAGGAGUUUUUGAUAAAGAAACAGCCACAGGUCACCUCAGUUGAGACCUAAGGCAGAGGGUGUCAACCCUUUAGAUUUAACAAUCUUAAAGAUUACUAAGAACUUCCCAAGGUCUAUGUCUGUGUUGUUUAUGUCUACCUGUUUCUCCAUUAUUCAUAGUUUAAAAAAACAUAAUUAAAAAAAAUCUUUGUUUAAAGUGAAAUAAUUUGGUCAAGGAAGCAUGUGAGAGAAAAUUAUUUCUGAAGCAAAAACAAACUUAGAAGACGGGUGUCCAUGCAAGCUCCUGCAGUUCUCAGUGAUGUCGGGCUCUGUGAGAAACAGGUAGAUGCUUAGAGCUGCGUCUGAACUCACGCACCUGACUGUGGCUGUGGCUGAGGAUGGAGAGAGGAUCUCGCUGCACAUGGAACUCCAGUCCUUUGCAAGGGCACUGCAUGCUCUUAACCAGCCCCAUCAUCUCUCAGCUAGACUCUGAAUCCUCAUCUCUGGUACUCUUGUUCUCUGCUAAAAUAAACUGUUUCGCCAGCUGCAUGUGUUAGCCUGUGCCUAUAAUCCCAGCACUUAGGAGGCAAAGGCGGGUAGAUCUCUUUGUGUCCAAUCUCUUUGAUCUUCUUUCUUUCUUUCUUUCUUUCUUUCUUUCUUUCUUUCUUUCUUUCUUUUUUGAGGUUUUUUUUUUUUUUUUUGAUGCAGUGGUUUGGUUUGUUUGUUUGUUUGUUAUGUACCCCUAGCUGGCUUCAAACUCACUAUGUAAAUCAGCCUGGCUUCAAAUUCAG
rnacentral:lncRNA from 1 species